ACUCAAAUGAAUUGACGGGUCCCCGCACAAGCAGCGGAGCGUGUGGUUUAAUUCGAUGCAACGCGAAGAACCUUACCCAGACUUGACAUGGCGUGGAAAGCCCUGGAAACAGGGCCCUCGCAAGACCGCGUCACAGAUGUUGCAUGGCUGUCGUCAGCUCGUGUCGUGAGAUGUUGGGUUAAGUCCCGCAACGAGCGCAACCCUCGUGCUGUGUUGCAUAUCACAGCAGACUGCCGGUACAAGCCGGAGGAAGGCGGGGAUGACGUCAAGUCCGCAUGGCUCUUACGUCUGGGGCUACACACACGCUACAAUGGCCAGGACAGCGCGCAGCCACGGGGCGACCCGGAGCGAAUCGCAAAACCUGGUCUCAGUUCGGAUGGUAGGCUGCAACUCGCCUGCCUGAAGUUGGAGUUGCUAGUAACCGCGUGUCAGCAUAGCGCGGUGAAUAUGUUCCCGGGGAUUGUACACACCGCCCGU
rnacentral:rRNA from 1 species